CUCCCGUGAUAAUGGAGACCCAGAAGUCCCACCGUCUGCCAUCUACAAGCUGGAAACCCCUUCCUACUUGCUCACCUGCAGAAGAGAGAACUGGAAGUGACUGAUCCGUGUCCCAGGAUACUUCGCAGCUGGGGUUGUGCCCUGAGCCAGAUUCCUCCAGGUGAAGAACAUAAGAGAAAAAGGAAUUUGAGGUCCUCCAGAGAAGAAGGAAUUCUGCCUGAGUUUCCAGCUUGCUGCCCUGAUGACACUUGGACGUACGACUGAAACAUCAACUCUUACUGAAUUUCCAGGCUGCUGGCCUGCCCUGGGGAUUUUGGACUUGCCAGCCCUAAAAUCAUGAUCCUGCCCUAGACUCGCCCCGCCGGCAUACAUCGCUUCUCUGGGCCUCCACGGUACCCAGGGUGACCCGCCCCCAACCCCCAAUGGACUGAAGCUAUGCCCACGGGCAAUGAGCCAACCCAGUGAGGCAUGAGGAAGAUUGGAACCAUCUGGAGAGGAAAUCUCCAUGAGUCUCUCUCUCUUGUGUUUUUUUUUUUUUUUUAAUUUUUAUGGGAGUAGAGUUGCUUUACCAUACUGUGUUAGUUUCUGCUGUACAGCAAAGUGAAUCAGCUCUACGUACACGUAUAUCCCCUCUUUUUUGGAUCCCCUUCCCAUUUAAGUCACCACACAGCGGUGAGUAGAGUUCCCUGUGCUACACAGUAGGUUCUCAUUCAUGAUCUAUUUUAUACAUAGUGCCAAUGGCGGAUAUAUGAGAGGUUGGGGUUGACAUGUAUACUCUGUGAUUCUCUCUAAAUAGCCUGGGUUCGGAAGAAAUGGAAGCUUGGCUAGCGGGUGGCAGGACCCCCGUGGUAGCAUGGCCGUGGGGUAUGCAGACUGGACAGCCAACACCUGUAGGCAUCUGAUGACACCUACAGUGGAUACAUCAAACAGGGUGGGUUGUCCACGGCUUAGACGGCUCCUUCUACCAGAAGCUCCCAGGCGUGUCUGAUUGGAGCUGAAUCAUGACAAGCCAGAGUUGAACUUGCUGGGAUAAGAGCCUGGAACCAGACAUCACUGUCUCUGUGGAGAUCUAGGGGAGCAGCAGGGACCACCCUCCUUGGCCACUAGUUCUGGCAUCAUGGAACCCAACUUGUCUUCUGAGAACAGAUGGGCUCCAUGGGGAACAGGUGAACCACUGAGAAAUGCAUGAAAGAUUCUCACAGCCGUUGACAAAGAGGAUAAAUCCAGGACGAAGAUGGUGGUCGACCUCUCUCUAAAAGAGAACACCCGACCUGGGCACAUUACCUUAUUUGUGGUGUUUUCCACCUUCUGAUCAUUUAGAGCAGCUCGGGGAUAGGAUGGCUUUGUUCUAAUCAUUUGAGAACUUGGGCUUACACUCUCCACCCCCCGACCCCGUUCUAAAAAAAAAAAUCCUCCAAAUCUCUUCUUACCCUCCAGUUUUCCCCUUCUGAGAAUGGUCCCACUGUAGUUGAACCUUGAACCACGUGGAGGUUCAGAGCACCAAAAAUUUGAGUAUAACUUAGAGUCAGCACUCGGUGUCCAUGGUUCCUCCAUAUACAAGGGUUCAUCUAGCUUUGGAUCGUGUGGUACUGUCGUACAUACUUAGUGGAAAAAAUGUGCUUAGAAGUGGACCCACGCCGUCCAAACCUGUGUUGCCCAAGGGUCAGCUGUAUAUAUACAUAAUGAUUCAAGUCAAAAUCUGCAAGUGGGUGCUCUAACGUGGUGUUCUCAGACUUUAACGUGUUCGCAUGUGAGUCUGACAUAGUAGGUCCGAGGCGAGACUUGAGAACAUCCAUUCAUGGCGGGCACCCAGGUGAUGCAGAUGCCGGUGGCCCAUGUGUUGAGCGGGAAGGGUCUAGAGACGUAUCCCAGUGGCCCAACAUAGUAGCCAGUAGUCAUCCCUGCCUAACUAAAUGUAAAUGAUUUAAAAUAAAAGACAACUUCAAACCUUACUUCCUUGGUCAUACUAGCCACGUUUCAAGCUAGUGCUGGGUAGCCGCCAUGUUGGAUGACACAGCGUAGAACGUUAUUCCAGCACUGCAGAAACUUCUGCAGGACUGUGUUCGUCUAGAGGCUGGCUAUCACCAAGGAACAUCUAGUUACAAUAAGGCUAAUGGGUUUUUAACCUUUGGAAUUUUUUUUUGAUUUGAAGAUGUGAAGGGGCAUGAGUGAAUACUCACAUAAAAUUCUGUAUACCAGCGUAAAGCCCUUCAUAAUCAGGGCACAAAUAUACAUCCCUCAGAACAUGGGGCUCCCUAGAUAUUCUAAAAAGCCCUGAUAUGAAAGAGCUAAAUCCUGAAAAAUGUCCCAAAUUUCUAAAUAUGUUUGUUACACAUACUCCUAUACCCCCCAUGUAGGGUAGCUGUAGAAGUCUACAGCUAUUUAUUUACACGUAUCUGCAUAUUCUCAUCUUUUCUUACAAUUAUUUCACAUUCUCUAGGUGAGCGAAAGACAAGAAGAUUCGGGCUUCCCGGAAGCGGAAUCACGCAGGUGUUCCUACUUGAGGCGAUUUCUUCCCGGCGAUGAGUGAGAGAUCCAGGUUCCUGGCCAAAGUGGUCCUCUGCCAUCAUCAACACCUGCCUCCCAAGAUACUGAAACCCCAGCAGGUGGGAGAAGUUAACUGCAUGCUGCCCACCGGCACGCAGACCCAGACCCGUUGGAACCAGAAGGUCAAUGAUGCUGACUUCGAUGACCUCACCACCAACCAAUGAGAAGAGUGCCCAUGAGCUGACCACGCCCUCUUUGAACCAUCGCUGUAACACUCCUCACAACCACCUCCAGGUUGGGACACAGUUUUCUGUGUUUUGUUUAAUAUUUAUUUAUUUAUUUUUGGCUGCAUUGGGUCUUUGUUGCUGCGCGCGGGCUUUCUCUAGUUGUGGCGAGCUGUGGCUACUCUUCGUUGCGGUGCGCGGGCUUCUCAUUGCGGUGGCUUCUCUUGUUGCGGAGCACGGGCUCUAGGCACGCGGGCUUCAGUAGUUGUGGCUCACGGGCUCAGUAGUUGUGGUGCAUUGGCUCAGUAGUUGCACCUUGCAGGCUCUAGAGCUCAGGCUCGGUAGUUGUGGCACGUGGGCUUCAGUAGUUGCGGCUCACAGGCUCUGCAGCGCAGGCUCAGUAGUUGUGGCGCACGGGCUGAGUGGCUCCGCGGCAUGUGGGAUCUUCCCGGACCAGGGCUCGAACCCAUGUCCCCUGGAUUGGCAGGCGGAUUCUUAACCGCUGUGCCCCCAGGGAAGUCCCUGGGACACACAGUUUUGAGGGCAUUAGCCCACUGUGGCCCCCUUUGCCUGGCAAAGCAAUAAAGCUCUUCUCUUCUGCUUCACCCCAAACUUGGUCUCCAAAAAUUAAUUUGGUGUCAGGGCACGGAGGCCAGAUUCGGCUUCAGUAGGAAACAUCCCAUCCACCAGCAAUGAUGUCCACUUGCGCCAACCAGUGGGAAAUGAAAUACUGGCUGUUGGAAGCCGGAUGUUUUCUCUCAAACCACCUCUGUGGACCAGAAGGAUCGGCUGAGAGAUCUUAGGAGCAAAAAGGUGCAACUCAAUCUUUCUGCCGUAAGAUGGGUGCGUGCGUCAUUUUAUCAGAGGUAGAGAUCCAUCUUUAAGGCAGUCACAGCUUUGCAAAUGUUCAGCUCCAUGCUGCUGGCUGAAGAAGAGGUCGCUCAUCCUCUUCCAUGAAAUCAGCCACUGCAACCAAGCUAACGGAAAGGCUGCGGUGGAAAGAAUCUUUGGGCUGCUGUGGCAUUUCUGGCAUGCCAGCCCUCCUGUGUGUAUUGCAUAUUUUGCAGGGAUGCCUUUGGCUCCCUUUGGAAAAGGGAGAGACAAAAUUCCCUUCAGUUAGCUGGGAAUCUGGCUGUCCACAGAAAACACAGACGUUUGUGCGAAAGACAGAAACCAUCCCACGACAUUCAGGCAAUACUUCCUCCCCAAAGACUUUAUUUUCAGAACCAGAUCUUUUAUCGGGGGGCUGGGGUGGGGGGCGGAGGGCGCCGUGUAGCUUGCGGGAUCUUAAUUCCCUGACCAAACCUGGGCGCACAGCAGUGAAAGUGCUGAGUCCUAACCGCUGGACCACCGGGAAUUCCCUAGGACUGAAUCUUCUAUAAUUUCCUUGUUGCAAUCAGAAGCUCAAUGUCAAAGUGGUAUCAGCUGCUCUACCUCACAGAGCAGUGGAGAGAAGGGAAGUCUUAUUUAAAUAACACAUGUGGUCAGGGACGUGACCUGGCCUGGCUGAAACUCGUACCAGAUGCCGCCGUGUUAUACGAUACAGGAAACACAGGGUCCUUUUUUGGUUUUGUCCUAAACUGUAUGCAUGGAUUUAAUGUGAUAUGUGUUAGAAGGUGUAUAUAUAUAAACAUAUUGGCUCGUACGUAUUAGAAGAAUUGUGGCAGUGUGCUCAUGUUCACAUCAGGACUUGUUAAAAUGCAUUAGUGCUCCUUCAGUAAUACACUGCACUCUCAAAUAGCCAACAAAAUUAGGAUACUCUGUAGUUUAUGGUCAUGAACAUGAUGUUGCCUCAAUAUUUAACCAAGGGCAAACGCGUGCAAAACCCUGUGCCUGAAAGACAUUUCAGUUACAAAAUAAACGAGUCAAGAGUGUGAAAAGUGCAGUGUGGCGAAUGUAGUCAAUGACUAUGUGAUAACUUUGUGUGGUGACAUCAUAACAAGACUUAGCAUGGUGACCAUUUUGAAAUGUUUAGAAAUAUUGAAUCACUGUGUUGUGUACCAGGAAUAACAUACUGUCGUAAGUCAAUUAUACUUCAAAAACCCAUAGAAAAAAAUCGGAUGAAGGAAGUCAAAAGGUACAGUUAUAAGAUAAAUAAGUUAUAAGAUAAGAUAAAUAAGUACUGUGGUUGUGAUGUACAACAUGAAAAGUAGAAUGAACACCUGCUGGGUCUUCUGUAUGAAAGGUGUAAAGAUAGUCGAUCCUAAGAGUUCUCAUCACAAAACGGAAUUUUUUUCUAUAUCUUUAAUUUCGUAUCUAUAGGAGAUGAUGGGUGUUCACUAAACUUGUGAUAAUUAUUUCACGGUGUAUGUAAGUGAAAUCAUUGUGCUGUACACCUUACAGUUAUACAGUGCUGUGUGUCAGUUAUAUCUCAAUAAAACAGGAAGAAGAAAAAAAUGCUAAUUGGAGUAGAUUUUUCUUACAGGGAAAUGUAAGUCAUUAAACUGCUUCCCCAAGAAAAGUGAUAUGAAAAUAGAAUUUCAGAGACAAAAAAAAAAUGAAGAACUUCUGACCUGUUAAAAUGAGCUUGUUCAAGUAUUUUUAUAUGCAUUAUGGUGGGAAUCCAAAUGGAUCCAUUUCAAAGACUGAUGAAAUUUUCAUGUCAAUGUUCACAAUUUUCUGUAAACUGUAUAUUUUACAACUAUUGAGACAUGAUGAGGAAUUUUAGAGGUCAACAAAAAUUUCUGAGAAGGGAUAUAAGGUUUCAAAAUUUACUUAAGACUACUGAUUUAGAAUCAACCAAAAUAAUGUGAAACUUGGUCCUAAUUUAACAGCAUGAAUUUUACAUAAGAGAUAUUUUUGUUUUUAGCUAAAAGAAGGAGCUUCUGAGCACUCUCAUAUCCUAUUCAACUACAGUUGUUUUUGGUUUUUUUUUUUGCGGUACACGGGCCUCUCACUGUUGUGGCCUCUCCCGUUGCGGAGCGUAGGCUCUGGACGCGCAGGCUCAGCGGCCAUGGCUCACGGGCCCAGCCGCUCCGCGGCAUGUGGGAUCCUCCCGGACCAGGGCACGAACCCGUGUCCCCUGCAUCGGCAGGCAGACUCUCAACCACUGCGCCACCAGGGAAGCCCCAGUUGUUUUUUAAAUUGUACGUUAUGUAUGUAACUGUGAGACAAUUUAGCAGAAUAGUAAAAGAAGGAAACCUUGUUUUACUAAACUUAGCAGAAAAUGGAUAUGGUUUAACUUUAUUAUUAUGUCUAAGGCUAAUUAAUUAGAACUGAAAAAAAAAUUGCUUCCCCAAGAAGGGGCAGGGUUACGGAACAGAAGAAACAGAGAGGAGAGAAAAGGUGGAAGAAAAAAUUCACUUGAUUUACAAGGGUUUAAGGCAAGAAAACUGGGGGAGUCCCACAAUGGACUAGAGAGAUUGCAUCUUGCCAGUGGCUGGUUAGAAGCCACCUUGGCUUGGAUCACCUGUCCUUUUGUCAAAGGUGAGGAGGAAACAGCUCAGGGAGCGAACUGUUCUGCUUGAGUGUGUCUAAUGUUAUUUUCAGGUAAGCAGACUCAGCUUGCAUGGAGAGACCAUGAGCUGGAUUCCAGGAAAGGCCCAAGAAGAGUCCACAUUUCUCUUAGGAUGUGCCCGGGAGAGCCUCCCCAAGCCUGGAAAUACUUAACCAUCCCUUGCUUCCUUGAGAAAAGUCAGAAAGGAUUAUUGAAACAGAUUGGAAUGUUGAACCGAACUUAUAAGUGUUCCUAAGCUGUGUUCAUUAACCAAAAAGGAUGCUGAAACAGGAAAAACAAUGAACCUGGGAACGUAGCUAUGAUUAUACCCCUCCACCCCCAAAGGGGAAAGGAGCUGUGAAUAUUUAAGAGAACAGAAUAUGUUGGUCAUUGACAACGAAGAAAAUAAGAGAGAAACCGUCCAAGGAAAAUACUUUAAAGGUAAUCUUCUUGGAGGGCUGAAAGAAAAGAUGCCAAAAAAAAUAAUAAUCAAACCAAGAACUCUUAUCAGUUAUGAUGUCAGGUCUUUGGGUGACUGUGAAAUGCAUUUCUUCAUCAGAUGAAGACAGGGCUUGGAAUUCAACACAUCUAUUGCACAAAUACGGUUUGACCACCCAGUGCAUAUACGUCAGUGUGGGCAGAAAUUUAGUAAAAAUGGAAAUGUGACCUGUAGGAACGGGAAGGAUUCCAUGGAUGCCUAAAUCAUAUUGAGAGUGUGAUGCCUCCUACUUCCUACUUGGAGAAAGGAGAUAGCUUUAAGGUGAGAUAGUGAUUCAUUUUCGCAGGCAAAAUCCUGCAAGGACUCAUAAAAGGUAGGUGGUAGACCAGAUAUCCCAGUUGGUUCUGCCCAUGGAGACUGUACAGAUUAUGAUUUUCGAGCAGGAACAGCUCCUUACCUGUUAUCAGUGCCAUCAGGGAAAGGAAGAGAAUAGGGAAUCCGAUGAAUGUCAAGGGAAAACUCUAGAGGUGGAAGAUUUGAAUUCCAGUUGCUGCCGAGUGCAUCACAACUCUUCAGAUGCAAUUGGACAGAGAGAAAUUACGAAGUAAAUUGCUGUGAUGAUCUCACAUUCAGAGGUUACUCAAAUUACCCAAAAUGACAUGACAGGGACAAAAUUGGGAGUAGAUCUGGAGUUAAGGUCUGGCAGAGAGGUUUUUCUCAUGAAAGCCUGGAGACUCCUGUGCAUUGGGAGCCCAAGAUCCCCACACCAACCCCAAGAGCUCAAUGUAAGUGCAAAGAUUUUCAAGUAUGAGAUGAGGAACUUCCAAGAAAAGUUUCCCGUGGGGGAAGAAAAUGCACUUUGGAGGAGAUGGAUUUCCCUGGAAAUGUUUCUGUUAGGAGGGCAGUCAGAUGUCGAUUCAUCAAACGUCAAACUAGGUCCUUUUGUGUAUUCUGAGUCAGAAGCAUGCCCCACGAUUUUCCUAGAGAGUAAAAGGCAUGGUUUUCAACUCAGCCCCGUCGGAGGAGUUUAAAGCACUCUUAUUUGAAAGUCACUCCUCUGGUCCCAGGGAAAUUCUGAAGCUGAGUUUCCUUCCUCUGAUUGUUAGAGAAAUUAUAUUUGGUGGGUAUAAACUGGAAGUCAUGACAAUUCAGGCAUUGUUUCUCUGUAACCGUUAGAUGUAUAUUUUAACAUGUAUUUUUUUCCCCUCCAUGUGUUGGUUUAAAUAUAGUUGUUUGUUCUAAAGUUGGUGGUAGCUUGAAGGUAACUCACAGACUUGCUGCAUCCGGCAUGGGAAGCAGUCCUCCCCUGCACGCACAGAGAAGGUCAUCCUUUUCCUGGCACUCAGUCCUGAACGGUACUCCAGGUGUGUGUCAGGGACAGAGCCGAUGGAACAGAGAAAACAGUUGGAGGUUCAGGGAGGCAUCUGCUCCUCAGAUAUGUUGGGUCAUAAUCAGCUUGAUGCAUACCAGUGACCAGAGGGUUCAAGGGGGCAGUACCUUGAACGUCAGUUACUGCCCUUUCAGAAAGCUCGUAGGACACAUCCUGGGGGGCGUAGCCAUUUAGUGUCCCCCUUCAGAAAAGUAGGGCUGUGGGCUGGAGUGUCCAGCCCUCUUCCUGCACACCUGGGAGAUGCUUUAGGGUUGACCCCCACCAUUCUUUGAAAUCAUCCAUAACUCACACUUCAAAGUGCUUAACCCAAAUGAAAUCUGUGCGUGUGGAAGCUCUAACUGACUACAUACUGAAGCAGUUUCCAUAGUAGGUGUGAAUAGAUGUAUGACUGAUAGAUGAUAGCUAGAUGGAUAGAUGAUAGAUAAAUAAAUGAUAAAUGAUUGAUGACAGAUAAUGAAAAGAUGAUAGAGAUAGAUGAUAGAUAAACAAGUAGAUGAUAGAUAUAGAUAGAUGAAAUAGAGAGAUAGGUAUAGAUAGAUUGUUUAUAGAUACAUGACAGGGAUAGAUAAAUAGAAGAUGAUAGGGAUGAUAACUAGAUAGAUGAUAGAUAGAUAUGGAAGGAUAGAUGGAUGAAUACGUAGAUGAAUAGAUGGGUGGAUGAAUGGGUGGAGAGAGAGAGAUGAUGUAUGGAGAGAUAUAUAGAUGCAUAGAUAUGGAUGGAUGGACAGAUAGACAAAUGGAUGAAAAGAGAUGGAUAGAUGGAUGGAUGGAUGUAUAGGUAGAUUAUAUAGAGAGAUAGAGGAUAGAUAGGUAGAUAGAUAGAGGAUAGAUAGAUACUUAGGUAAUAGAUGGAGGGAUGGAUGAUAGAUAAAUGAUAGGUAGAUAGAAAGAUGAUAGAUGAUAAAAAGAUGAUAGAGAUAGAUAAUAGAUAAAUAGAUAGAUGAUAGAUACAGAUAAUGAUAGAUGAAAUAGAGAAAUAGGUAGAGAUAGAUAGUUUAUAGAGACAUGAUAGGGAUAGCUAAACAGAUAAAUAGAAAGAUGAUAGAGAUAAGUAAAUAGGUGAUAGAUAGAUAGAUAGAUAGAUAGAUAGAUGAGAUUUUCUAGGUCUCCACUGUGCUGUUGUGUUAAUUACUUUGGAACCAUGCUCACACUUAUAUUCAAACCAUGCUUAUUAAAAUUCGAGACGUGAGAGCACAAAGGGUCAUGCAAAGUCCUAGGAGGUACAUUAUAUGUAGGGUUACUUUCGUCCAGAACUAAAAGUCCACCACAAAAUGGCAGCACCCAAGUGUCCCCCAACCCCUCUGUCUAUGACUCUGUCCUCCUGCAUCAUUGAUCUGUCAGUGUCAAUUCAAGGAGCAUUUUAUUAGAGAAUCACCCACCACGAUGAACAAAGCACAGCCCUCCCACCCGUGAGAGCAGCAAGUCAAGGGCUGCCAGGGUCCAGGCAGGUGUAAUUAAUUAGAGAAUGUUACCCACCCCAGCACCCACCCAGAGGAAACCAGUGAGAAACAAACUCACGGGUCAUCUGGGCAAAAGCAAACGCUGAAGAAUGUAAAACACAGCCUACACGUGUCCAUAUGUGCUUUCCCUUGCUCCUGAGGGCGGGGGCAGAAACCCACUCCAAACACCAUAGUCAGGGACAAUCAGGGUCUUUGCAAAGCCUCCGUGUCUAGCCAGUGCUCACUCAGUUUUUUGAGGGGCCUAUAACACAAGCGUAUGGUGGGCUACAAAAUCCAUUUGCCCCAGUGAUAGAAAAUUAUAGCGCUAAACACCCAGAGAUGGUAUGUUACUCAGCUCAGGCUGCCAUAAUGUAGUACCACAUAUGGGGGGGCUCUUAAACAGCAGACAUGUAUUUACUCAGUCUUAGAGGCUGGAAGUCUGAGAUCAAAGGGCCACAGUGGUUGGUUUCCGGUGGGGACUCUCUCCUCGGUUUGUAGAUGGCUGCCUUCCUGUUGUGUCUUCAUAUUGUGGAGAAAGAGAGAGAGUGAAGGUAUCUCUUCUUCUAAGGACACUAAUCCUAUUGGAUCAGGGCCUCACACUCAUGACUUCAUUUCACCUUAAUUGCUUCCUUUCUCCAAAUACACCUGUGCUGGGAGUUAGGGCUUCAACCUAUGUAUUUCGGAGGAACUCAAACAGUCCGUAAUAGAUGGAAAUAUACCAUGGUACACCUUCUGUGUGUUGAAAGUGAGAUUCCCCCCCCCCAACCCCUCCAUUAGCCUAACAAAACACUUUGUAAAGUAUUUGUCAGAAGUAAAAAAAAGAAAAAUCAUCCACAUCAGGUCACCCACCUCAAAUUUCUUUUGCAAAUUUUAUUUUCAGUUUCUUUCGUAUGUGGGUUCAAUGCAGAAGGCAGUCCUGUACAUGGUUUUAUUUUCUUUUCAGCUGUUAGUGUCUUUCCAGGCAUGGCAUGUGGGUCAGUGUAGCAGUUUGAACCCAGUAGGAGUUCAAAUUUAAAAAAUCGUUGCUGGGACCUCCAUGGUUGAGACUCUACGCUUCCCCUGCAGGGGGCAUGGGUUCUAUCCCUGGUCGGGGAACUAAGAUCCAAAACAAUUGGUGCCCAUUUGAUUGGGUUUUAACAUGAAGGUUCACAGCGGUGUAUGUGCCUGACUGUGGGAUAAAAGUUGAGUCUGCACAUGUGCUGGACAGAGGUAUCCAUGGUAACCAUCGGUCACGAAUAAGUAGUGGACACUAGCGUUCUUUCCAGGACCACAGUAGGAGCUCGGUUAUGAUGGGGUCAGAUGCCCAGAUUACCAGACUCACUUUUAGACAUACUCAGCGCCGCUUGUGCUGUGUUUUUAUCUGUCAGCUACUCUGAUGGGCUUGCCAGCCUCCUGCCAAGCUGGGAGGAUGGUAGGUGUAGAUUUAGGGUAAACAGGUGAUUCUCUUCAGGGGCUACUGGGUGCCUUUUGAAUACAUGCAUGGUGGUCCUUUAUCCAUCUCCAAGAGUUCUCCAAGCUGAUGUGUGGCCGAGAGAUUAGGUGCACAGAGCUGUCCUUCCGACCACAGGAUGAAGCCGUGAAUCUGGGGCUGGGGUUUGGUUGAGGAGUGGCUGCCCUGAGCUCCUGUUGGAGCCGAGGCCAGCCUCGUCCGCCUGCACGUGGCUAGCACUGGGGGCUGCAUCCUGCAGUCUGCCCGCCUCCUGGAUGUCCUGGUCAGGACCGAAAGGCCAGCCACGAGAACCCUCCCCCGUCUCAGCCACAUCCCAGGCUCUGGCCUGGGUUACCGUCUUUAACCUUUGUGUGUCUGGGUGUCUGAAUGUGUAUGUUUCUGCAUGAGUCUGUAUCUGUGUGUUUGUGUAUGCACAUGUAUUUGUGUGCAUAUGUGUUCGUAUGCAGGCAUGUGUUUAGGUUUGCGUGUACGCAUCUGUGUUUGUACAUGCGUUUGGGUGUAUGUGUACGCAUGCGUUUCUGCAUGACUUUAUGUAUGCAUGUAUGUACGCAUGGGCGGGUGUAUUUACCUGUCUGUGUGUAUCAUCAAAAGCAGUCUUCUCCUUCCCAUCUCCAUUUUUUCCUGCAUUCUGUCUCACUCCCUAAAUGCCGUUCCAAAUAACAAGGAAAAGAACAAGCUCAUUAAAAUGUCCCUCGUUUGUGGAGUGAACUGCACAUCUCAACGGCAUUUGUUAUAAGGUUGGGAACAGAGACUUUUGAAUCCAUCUCCCAGGACAGUUUGAGAGGUUUAUGUUAAGAUAAAUCCUGAGUUCCACCACACCUUCAAACAUAUUUCCAACAGGAAAAAAAAAUAUUUACCCAAAGAAAUGUCUGACAGAUAAAUGAGAACUUACUUCAAUGCCUAGAGACCGUAUCUCAAACUUCAUGUAACAAACACACCCACAGUAAUGUGUUCAUGUAUAAAUAUCACGGAUGGGUGUUGGUAAUGGAUUUCCCUGCAGGACAUUAAGAUUCCGUUGGCUAUCUCUAUGUGCACCCUGGUUAAUCUAGUCUAAAGUGUACACUGUCUCAUGAACACACACACACACACACACACACACACACACACACACACACACACACACACAGAGAAGCGUCCUGAAGCCCAAAUUCAUCACUUCUAUCCAUCAUCCAGCUCAUGGUGACCUCUGAGAAAGAUAAGAAACACGCACUAGGCACUUCCAAAUUUUACAUAUGGUUAAACUCAGAGCCAGGAGAUACGUGGAUAGCUUUGUCCCACGGAUAAUAUAACUUUGAAUCAUGCUCUCCUUGCAGAGAGAGAUUUUGGGGUAAUGCAGGUCAGGUCUACAGGAGCAGAAGAAAGAAAAAAAAAAAAAACGCAUCAUGGUGACAAUUAUUGUGAGCGUAGCACCUAGUCAGUGAGAGCCACAGAGGAUGUGGGAACAGAAAAACCAUCCCUAAAAAUCACAAGACAGGAAUGCACCCUUGCCCGGGGCGGAUGGUGGAGGCAGACAGCUCAGGUAUUAGACACGGCAGCGCCAAGAUUUAUCAUGUUGGAGGAGGUUUGUGCUCAGCUCCGUACCUCUGGGCAGACAGCUGCGCCUUAGCCCUUCCAGGGGAGGUGAUGUAAUGGGUCCUGGAAAAGGCAGGCGAGGGCUGAGUGGUGUCUGCAGAAAGUUGGGAGGAGACCUCAGCCCCUUUUUCGGCUUUAUCUAUCACCUUCCUUUCCAAAAGCCCUCCCCCGGGGCGUUUGCG